rnacentral:rRNA from 1 species
GUUAGAUUAGCUAGUUGGUAGGGUAAAGGCCUACCAAGGCGACGAUCUAUAGCUGGUCUGAGAGGACGAUCAGCCACACUGGGACUGAGACACGGCCCAGACUCCUACGGGAGGCAGCAGUGGGGAAUAUUGGACAAUGGGCGCAAGCCUGAUCCAGCAAUACCGCGUGUGUGAAGAAGGCCUUAGGGUUGUAAAGCACUUUCAAUUGGGAGGAAAACCUGCCGGUCAAUACCCGGUAGCUUGACGUUACCUUUAGAAGAAGCACCGGCUAACUCCGUGCCAGCAGCCGCGGUAAUACGGAGGGUGCGAGCGUUAAUCGGAAUUACUGGGCGUAAAGCGUGCGUAGGCGGUUCGUUAAGUCAGAUGUGAAAGCCCUGGGCUCAACCUGGGAACGGCAUUUGAAACUGGCGGACUAGAGUUUAGUAGAGGGGAGUGGAAUUUCAGGUGUAGCGGUAAAAUGCGUAGAUAUCUGAAGGAACACCAGUGGCGAAGGCGACUCCCUGGACUAGAACUGACGCUGAGGUACGAAAGCGUGGGUAGCAAACAGGAUUAGAUACCCUGGUAGUCCACGCCGUAAACGAUGUCGACUAGCCGUUGGUCCUAUUUACAGGAUUAGUGGCGCAGCUAACGCAUUAGGUCGACCGCCUGGGGAGUACGGCCGCAAGGUUAAAACUCAAAUGAAUUGACGG